GCAUUGGUGGUGCAACGGUUAGCAUGCCCUUCCGGAAACAGUGAGAUCUGGGUUCAAAACCCGGCUCACGCA